rnacentral:rRNA from 1 species
GACGAACGCUGGCGGCGUGCUUAACACAUGCACGUCGAACGAAGUGGCGAACGGGUGAGUAACGCGUAAUCAACCUGCCCUUCAGAGGGGGCACACAGUUGGAAACGACUGCUAAUACCGCAUACUGAAGGAGGGGAUUGCGUCUGAUUCGCUAGUUGGAGGGGUAACGGCCCACCAAGGCGAUGAUCAGUAGGCUGGCUGAGAGGUGGAACGGUCAAAAUGGGACUGAGACACGGCCCAGACUCAUACGGGAGGCAGCAGUGGGGAAAAUUGCGCAAUGGACGAAAGUCUGACGGAGCAACGCUGCGGGAGUGAAGACGGCCUUCGGGUUGUAAAGAUCGGAUAAUCGGGACGCGGUACCGGAAUAGAAAGCCACGGCUAACUACGUGCCAGCAGCCGCGGUAAUAC